CAUGAAGCUGGAAUGGGAUGCUGAAAGUAUCUAAGAUGGUUCUUCUCAGAACACCAAGUCCUAGAAAAACUGUAACAUGAUCUUCCAACAUGAAUCUGAUUCUCUGUCCCGGGGAGACACCCAAUGCCAUUGGUGUGGAAUAAAAUAUAAAAAAAACCUCCUGAAAGUAAAGAAGCGUGGUAACUCAAACUUCAACUAUCUGCAGAGCAUACUGGCUAUUUAAUCAGGUGGAGCCAAGCCAAAUUGCCACAGAACAGUAUGAGACUGAGACUGAAUGCUCACUGACGAUGCUUCACUCACCUCUCUACAAGAAGAGUAUGUAAGGCUGCCAUAUCUAGCGUGCUAAGCGAUCCAACGAUGUUCCAGAGCCUGAGAGCACCAUCACCUGCAUCAUGCCACACCAUUCAGGGACUCCGUGAUCCAUACUCAUCACUGCUAUUCUGUACUGAAUGCCGCAGAAGAUCCCAGGACCCGCAGUCACCAAAACACUGGUAUGUAAAACGUAGAGCUCUGUACUUUGUUCCUGUUCCACAGUACUGGAUCAUGUUAGCUGUUCUGUAUUUUAAUUGCGUCACCCCAGAGGACUCCAGAAGCUAUCACAGUAUGUACGUUGUCUGAUGUGUAGAGAGUCUGCUCCCAGUAUGGUUUUCAGUAAUGAUACUUUCAUUCUGAGACCUACAUCUGAAGAACACUGCGUGGCCCUGAUCCAAAGCCCACUGAAGUCAGCGUGACUCUUUCCAUUAACUUCCAUGGGCUUUGUAUCAAGCCCUAUAGGAGCUAAGUAUUACUGCGAAACUCUCAGGAGUUAUUUUAGAUCAACUCGUAAACAUUUGGAGGCUUAACCCAGCCUUGAGUAUCUGCAAAACUGGGCUGCAAAACCCCAUAAGAACAGGCCUCAUAAUCUUAUGUGAUUUAAGAUACUUUAGGCUUCUGUCUUGGCAAGAAAUAUCUCAAGAACAGCUAUUCCAUUUGGGGUUUUUGGCCUUUCUGCAUUGGCUGCUGCCAGAAACACAGAAGUACAGAGCCUUCUGAGAGAAUGAGAACCACUGCAUUAAAAGGUAACCAACAUUUUUCUAAUCUCAGAAUCGGUUUAGUUCAAACUUUGGGUGAAAGUUUGAGUCACUUCUGAAGUAGCUCACUCAUCCCUAAUAAAUCACUGGGGACAGUUAGUGUGAAUAAGGAAUUGUUCAGUUCACAUAUUAAAUGGGAGAAGUGUACAAGCCGUAAAAAUAGGACACUUUGGCCCUGUGUGCAAUGGGAUAGAGACUUAUUGCUGACAAUGGUUGUCAGCAAUUGAUCCCCCAAAUGGGUGUGAAUGGGACUCACAGGCUGGCUGGCCCUUUAAGAUAAGCCAGCCUCAGCCUUGCCUGUGACCUACCAGCUAUCCCACACCUGAUGGUGAUAAGGCAGUUUGAGACUAGUUAGUGAUCCCAACUGUGAAAGGGUUAGGAAAAGACAACACAGAGUCAAAGAACUCAGUCAAGGGGCGAGACUGCAGAAAAGGCAGGACUACUCUGUAGGUAGGAGUAGGGGUCAUGCCUUGGCUCUCAUGGGUAGGAGCCCUGAGAGAUGACUUAAACAGGUAAGAAGUCAGGGAGGAGGAUCCAUAGGAAGCACAGGUUACUUUGGGGGGAAACCCUAAGCAAAGGCCUAAAAGGAGCAGGAAGAGCCCUAGGGGAAAUUGCCAGAGUCCCUGAGGAAGGGCAGCAGUGAGGGAAACCUAUUAAAACCAGAAGGAACAGAGGAAGAACUCUGCAGGAGCAAAUCAGGCUGCUGUGGAGGAGAGGCCUAGUGGUAGUGUCA